ACUUCACUCUUGGUUUGAUGAUUGAGUCAGUAGCAUAUUUGUCCAGUACCUGCCUAAUGACGUGGAUUGCGUGUAAAUAAACUCUGCAUGUGGAUCCUCGUUCUUCUUCCGAGUCUGAGGGUUAAAGCCCAGGCUGAACGCAGCAGCAGCAGCAGCAGGAUGAUGAUGGAGGACGGGAUGGAAGUCUGAGCCGAAUCAGACGAGCCGCAGCCGGCUUCACUGUCGCAGCGAACCUUCUCGCACAGCAGGCCCGAGUAUCCCGGGGCACACUGACACCUCACGUUGUUCACACACACACCGCCGUUCUGGCAGCGAAGCAGCUCGUCAUCACACACUCGGGCUGUGACAGACAAGAGGGAGAGACGUCAAUGUCCAAACACAGGAAGCGCUCAAUAAAAUCAUCAUCAGUGUGCGCAAGCGAAGAGAGAAAAAUAGAAAAAGAAUUUUCAUGAAAGUGGAAAUCAACAGACAUUUAUAACUGAAAAAAAAAAACAACAACAAAUAAUUGAUCUGCCCAACACAGCUUACAACAUGCUCUCCUACAGGUUCUUCAAUCGUCCCUCAGGGACCUUAAAGGUUCUACAUAGAACCCUACAAGUGUUUCCUUUCCAUUUUACAAGACUAAUGUCCCUUAAUGAUCCAAUGAGUCCUUAGACACACUGCACAAAAAUGACAUCUAAGUGAAAAUAUCUAAAAUAUAUAGUCAAAGUCAUCUAGUAUUUCCUGUUAAAGGAUAAUAAAAUACAAGAAAUAUAUUAUUAAACCUAAUUCUAGACUAAUUCCAAGCUUCGAACACUCUUGAUCUGUUUAUUUCAGAUUAAAUUCAGAUUAAAAACAGGCUGAAUAUUCUUCUAUUGGAUAAAUAAUUAUAAGAAGAAGAAAUAGUAGAUAAAUCUGCUCAUAUUGAAGAUAUUUUCACUUGGAAAGAGAUUUUUAUUUUUAUUUUUUGCAGUUAAGAAGUGUGACCUGUGUAUUAUUCCUGUAUUAAUAAACCUUUUGUUUGUGCUUUCUGCUAGAA